rnacentral:rRNA from 1 species
CAGUCGCCACGGGAAAACGGAGGGAGCUAGCGUUGUUCGGAAUUACUGGGCGUAAAGCGCACGUAGGCGGUUAUUUAAGUCAGAGGUGAAAGCCCAGUGCUCAACACUGGAACUGCCUUUGAGACUGGAUAACUUGAAUCCAGGAGAGGUGAGUGGAAUUCCGAGUGUAGAGGUGAAAUUCGUAGAUAUUCGGAAGAACACCAGUGGCGAAGGCGGCUCACUGGACUGGUAUUGACGCUGAGGUGCGAAAGCGUGGGGAGCGAACAGGAUUAGAUACCCGGGUAGUCCCUGUCUCUUAUAC